rnacentral:rRNA from 1 species
UGCGUAGGCGGUCGCUUAAGUAGGGUGUGAAAUCCCCCGGCUCAACCGGGGAACCGCGCUCUAAACUGGGCGGCUUGAGUGAGAUAGGGGUGUGCGGAACUUCCGGUGGAGCGGUGAAAUGUGUUGAUAUCGGAAGGAACACCAGUAGCGAAAGCGGCACACUGGGUCUUAACUGACGCUGAGGCACGAAAGCUAGGGUAGCGAACG